GUCUGUAGCUCAGUUGGUUAGAGCACACGCUUGAUAAGCGUGGGGUCACAAGUUCAAGU
rnacentral:tRNA from 1 species